AACAGCUGCUCCUGGAAGCUCCUGUACAGGGUUGUACGGAGUAUGUUAGAAAUAUUUCAGAAAGAGGCGGGCAUUCCGUGGUGACUCAGAUGAACUGCCUGUCACAGUCUGGGUUCCCUUAAAAACACAGCCUGAGUCAAGAAGUCGCCUCCGUGAAGAUUUUCUUAGUAGGCAAUGUCAGGGUGCAGGAAUGAGAAAUUGUCACGCUGACCAGCUGUCCCUGUUUGUAGAACACUGAGAAGUUUUCUAAGAAGUGAAACCCAAGAAGUACAUAUGAGAGGAGCAGUCAACUGAGUUGAAGGCAAAUGGAAGAGACUGGACUGAUGCAGUCAACGAAGACAAGAGGACACUCUUCAUCCAGAAACAAUCAUGCUUGUAGACCGUCUGGUUCACUGUCGCUUGGCUCCGUCAUGGUAGCAGGAACAAAUGGCAGAAGAAAUUCUUUGCACCAUCUCAGCACGGCAGGAGGGUUAAUGUGCUUCCAAGAAUCUGCUAAUGACCUACUUCCUCCAGCUAACCUCCUCAUCUAAGGGUCUUGAAUUCCCUCGAAAUGGCAUCAGUUUUGGGAAGUCGCCCAAACUAUCUUUCAGUGUAGGAGCCUCUUGGAGGGACACUUCAACUCUAGACUGCAGCAGAUGCCCUCCAACUUGAUGCUAUAAGAACUCAAAACUCUUCUGCCCUUGCCCCCAGGUGCUUGUGGAUACUUCCAUUUGUAAAGGAGGAAACCACGACCCAAACCGAGCAAGGUGAUGGCAGAGCAGAGAUCUGAACCGGGUCUGCCCGACGCUGGGAUCCGCACAGCAUUCUGCCCAAGUGCCUCCCAGCUGUCAGGAGGACCAAUGGGAACCUCACCUAGCAGCUAAGAAGAGUAUCCUGGGAAAAGAAUAAGGAAGGACACUAAAUCAGGAGAAUGGUUUGUUUUACACUUAUUUGUUUAUUUAGUGGGGGCAGGGCCACACGCUAUAGCACACAUGCAGAGGUCAGAGGACAGCUUGCAGGAGUCAGCUCUCUCGUUCCACAUUGUGGGCUCUGGGGAUCAAACUCAAAUCAUUAGGCUUGGCAGCAGGCACCUUUAACCACUUAGCCAUCUUGCUAUCCUGGGCAUCUGGGGUGUGUGUGUGUGUGUGUGUGUGUGUGGUUUGUUUGUUUGUAACUAGUGGAAGUAAAGGAGAGAAAAAAAUAUCACAGAUCACCCGAGUAGAUAGAAAUGGGAGCUUGGGGGGUAGCUUUCAUUCAGGGGGAGUUUUCCAUUGGUGAUGUUUUCAAAUAGAUUUGAUGGCAAUAUAAUAUAAAUCUGGUUAGCUUCC
rnacentral:lncRNA from 1 species